rnacentral:rRNA from 1 species
UACGAAGGGGGCUAGCGUUGCUCGGAAUCACUGGGCGUAAAGCGCUCGUAGGCGGAUUGUUAAGUCAGGGGUGAAAUCCUGGAGCUCAACUCCAGAACUGCCUUUGAUACUGGCGAUCUUGAGUUCGGGAGAGGUGAGUGGAACUGCGAGUGUAGAGGUGAAAUUCGUAGAUAUUCGCAAGAACACCAGUGGCGAAGGCGGCUCACUGGCCCGAUACUGACGCUGAGGUGCGAAAGCGUGGGGAGCAAACAGG